UAAAUAAAUAAAAAUAUGGACGGGAUAAUUUGAGUUAGGCUAAUGGGAUGGUCGAGCUAGGCUUACCCAUGUGGGCUGUUACGGGCCGAGUUUAUGGACGGGCUUGGAUAACAAACUUUUGUCAAAUCCUUAAAUCAUCUUUAUGGAUUGGAAUGGGCUGGACACUUAAGCAGGUUGGAACGGGUUGGGCGGAUUGAAUAAUAUUGGGCUUUUUUAUUUGCAGGCCAUUUGAUGACCUCCAGUCCUAGACAUUGGUUAAUACCGGGAUAUUUUGGAAAUAAUUGUGAGUUGCGAUGAUUUACCAAGUGUCUAUUGUCCUAGACAUUGGUUAAAAUAGGGAUAGAAAGAAUUUUAAAAAUGAGUUUGGUUUCUUUCAAGUUGGUUUCUUUCUAGAAUUGCAGGUUUUUACUUGUGCUCUAUUUGGAUUAUAAUUGCUUCCUAAUUAUUUGGAGAAAAUAUUUUUGAGCAAAUCAAGCAGUUAAGAAUUACACUCUGAACUGUGUGAUAGAUAUAAUUUUUCACUUAAUAAUGAAAAAAAUUAUUCAUUUUGAUGCAUUUAAAGAUUGGCAACAAAGCUUCUUGCCCCCGCCCCUGCCCAACACUGAAAAAUUAAAAAACUGUAUAUGUUAUAAUGAUACAUUGGGAUGAUUUGGGGGGUUUAUAUGCUGCUCGACUUUGUUUAUGUAUAAGGAGUUUGUUGUAAAGCUCCCAAGCUUGCUUAAAUUCUUCCUAUAAACCAAUAGAAUUAGCGUUUUUGCCAAUACAAGUGUCGAUCAUAUUUCAAAUAUCUAAUAAUCACUUGGAUUUUGAAUUCUUUUCAGGGAUUGCAUGUCAAGCCAGCAGCUAGUAGGUUUUCUACGUGAGCAGUUGAACACACGAGCUCUGUGGUAUGUGAAAGAGUACUUGAUAGGUGUUUGGCACCAUCUAUUUCUGGCGGUGAGGGAUGUGACAACAUGACCAUGAUCUUGGUGCAGUUCAAGAAACCCCAUGAGUGCUGCUGCUGCUGCUGCUGAUGCAGAUGAGAAAUCCUCGACUUCUGAUCAUGGAAAUCAGUCUACUACUGCAGCUGCAGACGAGAAAUCCUCAACUUCUAACAUAGCCGAUACUGAAUUGAAACCAGCGGAAACUGAGUCAACCCCGUGACAAGUUUAUCAAUGUGUCGUCAGAUUGCGUUGGUGCGAGCUGUAGUUCCAAGGAUAUUCAAGAAUCCUUGGUUGUCUCUGUAACUGAAGACAGUUUGGCUGGUAAAGAUGGGCCGGUUACAAAUUUACGAUUGAGAUUCGCUGUGUGGUGUGUUUUUUUCCUUUUUCUAUACGAUAUUAUAAUUGCAAGUAACUUGCACAAAAUAGAUCUGGAUCAAAGUUGUUCAACUGUCAUCUAGUUUAGCAGUCUAUAUUAGCUUGAUAAUGGUUUUUAUAUACCCUGCUUGUUUUUUCUUCAAAAUCAUUGGUUCUUUUCUGCUAAA